UGGGGAAUAUUGGACAAUGGGCGAAAGCCUGAUCCAGCCAUGCCGCGUGUGUGAAGAGGGUCUUCGGAUUGUAAAGCACUUUAAGUUGGGAGGAAGGGCAGUAAAUUAAUACUUUGCUGUUUUGACGUUACCGACAGAAUAAGCACCGGCUAACUCUGUGCCAGCAGCCGCGGUAAUACAGAGGGUGCAAGCGUUAAUCGGAAUUACUGGGCGUAAAGCGCGCGUAGGUGGUUCGUUAAGUUGGAUGUGAAAUCCCCGGGCUCAACCUGGGAACUGCAUUCAAAACUGACGAGCUAGAGUAUGGUAGAGGGUGGUGGAAUUUCCUGUGUAGCGGUGAAAUGCGUAGAUAUAGGAAGGAACACCAGUGGCGAAGGCGACCACCUGGACUGAUACUGACACUGAGGUGCGAAAGCGU
rnacentral:rRNA from 1 species